rnacentral:rRNA from 1 species
AACUUUUGACGGUGGAUCUCUUGGCUCACGCAUCGAUGAAGAACGCAGCCAGCUGCGAUAAGUAGUGUGAAUUGCAGAAUUCAGUGAAUCAUCGAAUCUUUGAACGCAAAUGGCGCUCUUGGGUUCUCCCAGGAGCAUGUCUGUCUGAGUGUCGGAUACACAUCCAUC